CUCGAGGACUGACCAGCGCGGGUAGAUAGUGACGGUGCCCUCGUACUCCUGCAGGAACAUGUCGGCGACCCGGAAGCCGAAGGGCCGGAUGAGGUGGCCGGAGGCGAACUGGCUUAGGCCGGACAGAGCGCCGAGCAGCUGGUGCUUCAGGCAGAGGAGUGU
rnacentral:SRP_RNA from 12 species